rnacentral:misc_RNA from 1 species
CUCAAAGCUCCUCAAACCAGAUGCAACGGAAACAGAUAAAGCCUACCACAGCCGAGCCUACGACGAUGGUACACAAUCGAGCUCUGCUACGGGUUGGGGGGAUUACCUCUUAGGUGUGAACCAGGAAGGCUUGUCGCCGUCCCGGUCGUUGGUACUCGUGUCCAGACCCGUCUCAACGUCCCGCACUACGGUGACCGCCAUGGCCUGCACACCUCCUGCCGCUGCUGCUGCUGCUGCCACCGCCUGCUUAGUUUCCUCCGUCUCCAACACCGACUCCUGCUUGGCCUCCGCCGCAGAAGCAGGAGUCUCCGCAACA